rnacentral:rRNA from 1 species
GGCCAGACUCCUACGGGAGGCAGCAGUGGGGAAUAUUGCACAAUGGGGGGAACCCUGAUGCAGCGACGCCGCGUGGGUGAAGGAGCACCUCGGUGCGUAAAGCCCUAUCGGCAGGGAAGAAAAGCGAACAGGUUCGCCUGGACGGUACCUGACUAAGAAGCCCCGGCUAACUACGGGCCAGCAGCCGCGGGAAUACGUAGGGGGCAAGCGUUAUCCGGAUUUACUGGGUGUAAAGGGAGCGUAGACGGCAUAGCAAGUCUGAAGUGAAAGCCCAAGGCUCAACCAUGGGACUGCUUUGGAAACUGUUAAGCUAGAGUGCUGGAGAGGUAAGCGGAAUUCCUAGUGUAGCGAUGAAAUGCGUAGAUAUUAGGAAGAACACCAGUGGCGAAGGCGGCUUACUGGACAGUAACUGACGUUGAGGCUCGAAAGCGUGGGGAGCAAACAGGAUUAGAUACCCCCGUAA